rnacentral:lncRNA from 1 species
CAGAUAAUCAUAGAAGUAAAGUGUGUACUGAAAUAUAUACAUAUGAUUGUCUUAACUACAAUACUAGGUUUGGUCGAAUCGUCAUGUUUGAAAACACGCAGAAAGACAAAAAAAAAUCAAAAAUAAAUGAAAAAAGUGUGCUCAUAUCUUCUUUAAGAACUCUUUUCACUCAGAGGCGGAUUUAAGGGAGGGAGCAUCACCUCCACCUUCUUGAGAUGCUUCAUAUACUGUUGCAUUAUCUACACUUUUUACCUAUUUAAAUCCAAACUUUUUCUAGGUAGGGAAACCCCCAUCCUUUUUUUCAAAUCCUGGAUCUGCAUCUUU